CUCUGCUCCUCGCCUCCGCCCCCUCCGCUCCAGCGGCGGGCUUUUACGGUUUAGGCAAGUUUUCUGGGUUCCCACGUUUCGGAGAGAGAGAGCACAACCCCGGGGAGCAGCCCACAGAGGGAGAGGGAGAAGCAGGCUCCCUGCUGAGCAGAGAGCCCAACACGCCACUCCAUCCCAGGACCGUGGGAUCAAGACCCAAGGCAAAGGCAGACGCUCAACCGACUGAGCCACUCAGGUGCUGUGGUAUGCAAUGGUGAAAAAGACUGGCACAGACUCUCCCUUCACCAAGCUCCUUCUAGAAGGGACUAGAACGAGGAACCAGCUACGUCCAAUACUGCAUUGCCGGGGCUACGAUGGGGAAGUGCACGAUGCUGUGGCAGCACACGGGAGGAAAACUAAUCCCAGACGUGGGAGAAAGGUGCACAUAAUUAUUCACAAGGGAAAAGGACCUGGCAGCAGGAGAUGCUCACUACACCCAGGGUAUCCAGAAGUUUCCUGUGGACUGAAGGCCUCACGCUGGAGCCACUCCCUCCCCACAUCGCCUCAGCACAACUGGGAGAAGCAGGCUGGGCAAGGGGGCAAGGCAGAGAGUGUGGUGACAGCCAAGGGGGAUACUGGCUUCCGGCUCUAGCUGCUGUUCCCACAAAGCGUCCUCAUCCAGACACAAAGAAAGAGCCACCACGGCUCCAGGUGCCUGGACAGUAUGUAUUUUAAGAGAUUAAUUUAUGGGAUUUUUUUUUCCCUCUGUCUCCCUGUAUAUUCUCUUCCCAUCAAGCAGGGAGCUUUUAUGCUUUACUGCUACAGAGAAAGUAUAUGAAAUGGCAGAAAGCAGAGACUUUGGUUUCUCAUUUACCAAGGACUUAGAAGAAUGCAGAUUUGUGGUAGAAGCAAAAUGAAGAGAAAAGAAAAAGGUUCAAGAGUUUUACAGUGGAAUGUCUUUAAGAAGGUUGAAAGGAACAGACCCCCUUCAGUCUUGGCUUCCUGGCAAGGCCCCAGAGAUGUGACAAAACUCCAGAGAAGAAAAGCACUGGGGCCCUCAGCCUGGCAAACAAAUCCCAUGUCCCAAGUGAGUCACGGAAACAAUGACCCAGUGCCAGCAGGGCGCCACCAACUCGGAAUUGGGGAAGAUUGCAAAACCUUCACCAGGUCCCCGAGGGGAAACACCAGGCAUGACUGUCUGUCAGAAUGGGGCUCCGAGGCAGAAACUCAAUUGAUGUGGAAAACAAAGAAAAUGCUGUGCUGCGAGUCGGACUUUGUAGACCGAGAAUCGUCUUCUCUGCACAUUCAUUGGGAGAAUUGUGGAGGGAUUUUACCGUGUCGCUGGAGCUACAUUUUCCAGAACUCCCUCCCCAGUGUUGUACACACUGGGCUUGGCCACAAGAGAAAGAUCCCGUGAGAUUUGGAAGGCAGAAGCGAAGUGGCAGCCCUGAGGCUCUGGAGGUCGUUUAGGGCCCUGGGUGCCGCUGCCCACCUCCGAUGUCACCUGGCGGGUCGCGGGCAGCCACUGGGCCCACAGAUCCUCCAGGUCCACUGGCGCUUCCCAGGGUGCCUCCCAAAUAAGUAACUCACACUCAAAUCAUCCCUGGCUGGCCUCUGACAAAACACAACCUGAAACAGACCUCACCAGGUGGAGGAAUGGACUGAGCCUGAUAAGUUUCUUUUUUCUGUUUUUUUAAAUAAAGAUUUUAUUUAUUUAUUUAUUUGACAGAGAGAGAGAGAGAGAGAGGAAGAGAGAGAGAGAGAAAGCACAAGCAGGGGGAGCUACAGGCAGAGGGAGAAGCAGGCUCCCCGCUGAGCAAGGAGCCCAAUGCAAAUGCUUAACCUUAACGACUGAGCCACCCAGGCUGAACCUGGUAAGUGUUGAUGUAAAGAUGUGCCCUAAGGGGCACCUGGGUGGCUCAGUCAUUGGGCGUCUGCCUUCGGCUCUGGUCAUGAUCCCAGGGUCCUGGGAUUGAGUCCCGCAUCGGGCUCCCUGCUCAGCAGGAAGCCUGCUUCUCCCUCUCCCACUCCCCCUGCUUGUGUUCCUGCUCUCGCUAUCUCUCUCUCUGUCAAACAGAUAAAUAAAAAUCUUUAAAAAAAAAAAAAGAUGUGCCUAAGUUUUCAAAAACCACAUCUCCGUGGCUACAGAGGAGAUGCUCUAAUCACUGCUCCAGCCAGGGGGCCGCCAGAGCAGCUGUCAGUCACGCCUGCUGGGAAGUCCAGGGGUUCCCCAGGGUCCCAGGUUUUCAAUGCUUUUAUGUCCUGCACAGCUAUACCAGUGGAAUACGUGUUGUUUGUGCAUAGGAUGCUGCUGGUGCAGAUACAGAAGCACGUGAGUGUGACCCAGAUAACUCACACGCCCCCAUUUCCUUCCUUAAGGCCUAACUUAGCACUACAUCCUGGUCAAAAGAAACACAAGUCUGGGGGGGGGG